GCUUCACAAUGAGUUAACACCACCAAUGUUCUUAAUAACAGUUACAUUUCUAUAAGACUGAGUCGCUUUUUCAGUAGAGUUUAGUUACAUUUGAAUUCAUAUUACCUCGUGACAUUUCAAGCAUUUUUAAGCAUUUAUUGCCUGCGCUGCCUAUUCUGCCUUCUCUGCUUGCUUUCAUGACCGCCAUCAGUGGUGGGUGUUGAGUUACCCCCAUUGGUUGUUUUGACAAUAUUCAUACUAAACAUCAGCCCCACACUAAUUAUCUAUUAUAUAUGCAUCUAAUUUAAAUAGCUUUAUUUUUAUUAUUGCCAGUAAAUCAGACAACAUGAACAUGUCACCCUGCACUCUUAAUUAAAACUGACACAUAAUUAAUAAAAUAAAAAAAAAAAGAAAAGGUCAAACCCGUGAAUGAAUGAACCAUUUGGUACAUAUGUUCUCUAGUACACACAUCCCCUCCCCUCUAACACUUUGACCUCAUGUGUUACUCGGGGAGAUGAAGGAGGAGCAGGUCCAGAGUCUGAGAAUCAGGGCCUCGGGGUAUCUGAGCUAACACCAGCUCUCUGUUUUCUUCUGCAGCUGUUAUUGCCAAACAAGGUUUCCUUUGUCACACAUUUGAGCUACUGAUGCUGGGACCUUCUGUAUUCUGAGUUGUUGGUUGCUUGCAUUGUUGAUAAUCUAGUAAUGGAGGUUUCUUGUACUGUUGCACUUUGUUGGAGUGUCUUUGGAUAACACCCAAAAUGUAAAUGCCCCUGGCCAGACACAGCUAAAGUGAUAACAAACAGAGGGGACAAAGGCAGGCUACCAUUACAGGCAAUAACCUCAUUAUUAGGCCUGCAGCAAUGAUGGGGUGAAGCUAAAGAGGCCUGGCAUUACAUAUGAUCCAUCUAAUCACAGCUGUCACUUCUGGGACCAGGAAUACCUGAUAGGUUCUUGUUCCUAACAGCUCUGACACUGUUAGAAAGCAAGUGGAGCAUUUGUUUUCCAAAAAAAAAAAAAGAAAAAAGGAUCACCACAGGUCUUUAGAACACUACAUGAAAAACUGUGACAUGAUCCUAUGGGAAAUGAUACAUGUGUACAAAGAGUUAAAUGGCAGUUUAAAAUAAUUUUUCCUGAGUUCAACAAGUAAUCCCUCCAUCCUACUACAGACACAAUCCAAGUUAAAGAGGUUAUUUAUGCUUAUGUUCAAUAAUAAAAUAAUACAGAUGUGCCAAAUAGAAAAAGAAAAAACAUUAUGAUGUUAGUGCUGAAACCAUUAUCUGCAAAAUUAUGCAUACACUCAAUGUCAGGUAUGGGUAGGUAAUAGCUAAAACCACUUGGGUACUGCUGUUGAGACCAUUAUUAAUAAGAUUUUG
ensembl:lncRNA